ACACCAAUCGCCAAACCCAUUGUGAGGUGGGGACGGAAAGCCACGGGUCUUGUCAAAGACAGCCGGGCUGCAUCAG
rfam:Ferrimonas marina strain DSM 16917 genome assembly, contig: EK02DRAFT_scaffold00001.1